rnacentral:rRNA from 1 species
UACGGGGGGGUCAAGCGUUGUUCGGAAUUACUGGGCGUAAAGGGCUCGUAGGCGGCCAACUAAGUCGGACGUGAAAUCCCCAGGCUCAACCUGGGAACUGCGUCCGAUACUGGAUGGCUUGAAUUCGGGAGAGGGAUGCAGAAUUCCAGGUGUAGCGGUGAAAUGCGUAGAUAUCUGGAGGAAUACCGGUGGCGAAGGCGGCAUCCUGGACCGACAUUGACGCUGAUGAGCGAAAGCUAGGGGAGCAAACGGG